UGGUCGUGGAUAUGUCGGAAC
rnacentral:piRNA from 1 species